AGAAAGUCCACUUUUAGGUAUUUGAUCACCUUCUUAGGGGAAGUAGUUUCAUGGCAGUCUAGACUACAGAAAUGUGCUGCUCUAUCUACCAUAGAGGCUGAGUACAUAGCCAUUACUAAAGCUAGCAAGGAGUUACUAUGGAUGAAGAAGUUCUUACAAGAGCUGGGCCUAGAGCAAGAAAAGUAUAUACUCUAUUGUGAUAGUCAGAGUGCAAUCCAUCUUAGUAAGAAUCCAACUUUCCACUCAAGAUCCAAACAUAUUGAAGUGAGGUAUCAUUGGAUUCGAGAUGCACUGGAGAUGAAGAAGUUACAGCUUGGGAAAAUCCAUACUGAUGAGAAUGGUUCAGAUAUGAUGACAAAGCCAUUACCUAUGGAGAAACUACAAAUAUUUAGAACGAAAGCGAGCUUUGUGGAGUCCCUCAUAUAGUCGGGAGGGGGAGAUUUGUUGGGUUUUCCCUUCACUUUAGGGAUUUACCCAUUUAGUAGCCCACUAAAGCCCAAAGCAAUUAAACCCAUUUAAUGGUCCAAUAACAAAGGCAAAUAUAGAUACAAUUGAGGGAGAAAAACGAGCAGCUGACUUUCCAAAAUAGGCAGCUUCAUUUUCUUCUGAAACAGAGACCGAACGAGAGAGAGAGAGAGACUACGCUAUUUCAGUUUCUUCUUGCCAAAGAUCGAGAUUCAUCCAUGGUCCGAUUAAACUGAAAUUUCAGUAUGUUAUUCUUGGCAAAAAUAGCUACAUUUUGACAGGAGCUAAUCGUCCAGAUUCUUCUCCAUUUCUCUGGGCUCUACACACUAGUUUAGUGAGAUUUUCUCCUUAUUGUGUGUGUAUCUAUUUUAGUAUGAUGUUGUUGUUGAUAUCCAA
rnacentral:lncRNA from 1 species